rnacentral:rRNA from 1 species
AGUGAACGCUGGCGGUAGGCCUAACACAUGCAAGUCGAACGGCAGCACAGUAAGAGCUUGCUCUUACGGGUUGCGAGUGGCGGACGGGUGAGGAAUACAUCGGAAUCUACUUUUUCGUGGGGGAUAACGUAGGGAAACUUACGCUAAUACCGCAUACGACCUACGGUUGAAAGCAGGUGAUCUUCGGACCUUGCUCGCUUGAAUGAGCCGCUGUCGGAUUAGCUAGUUGGCGGGGUAAAGGCCCACCAAGGCGACGAUCCGUAGCUGGUCUGAGAGGAUGAUCAGCCACACGGGAACUGAGACACGGUCAAGACUCCUACGGGAGGCAGCAGAGGGGAAUAUUGGACAAUGGGCGCAAGCCUGAUCCAGCCAUACCGCGUGGGUGAAGAAGGCCUUCGGGUGUUAAAGCCCGUUUGUUGGGAAAGAAAAGCAGCAGGUUAAUACCCCGCUGUUCUGACGGUACCCAAAGAAUAAGCACCGGCUAACUUCGUG